rnacentral:rRNA from 1 species
ACGCUGUAAACGAUGUCGAUUUGAAGGUUGUUCCCUUGAGGAGUGGCUUUCAGAGCUAACGCGUUAAAUCGACCGCCUGGGGAGUACGGCCGCAAGGUUAAAACUCAAAUGAAUUGACGGGGGCCCGCACAAGCGGUGGAGCAUGUGGUUUAAUUCGAUGCAACGCGAAGAACCUUACCUACUCUUGACAUCCAGAGAAUUUAGCAGAGAUGCUUUAGUGCCUUCGGGAACUCUGAGACAGGUGCUGCAUGGCUGUCGUCAGCUCGUGUUGUGAAAUGUUGGGUUAAGUCCCGCAACGAGCGCAACCCUUAUCCUUUGUUGCCAGCACGUAAUGGUGGGAACUCAAAGGAGACUGCCGGUGAUAAACCGGAGGAAGGUGGGGAUGACGUCAAGUCAUCAUGGCCCUUACGAGUAGGGCUACACACGUGCUACAAUGGCGUAUACAAAGAGAAGCGAACUUGCGAGAGUAAGCGGAACUCAUAAAGUACGUCGUAGUCCGGAUUGGAGUCUGCAACUCGACUCCAUGAAGUCGGAAUCGCUAGUAAUCGUAGAUCAGAAUGCUACGGUGAAUACGUUCCCGGGCCUUGUACACACCGCCCGUCACACCAUGGGAGUGGGUUGCAAAAGAAGUAGGUAGCUUAACCUUCGGGAGGGCGCUUACCACUUUGUGAUUCAUGACUGGGGUGAAGUCGUAACAAGGUAACCA